UACGAAGGGGGCUAGCGUUGCUCGGAUUGACUGGGCGUAAAGGGCGCGUAGGCGGUUCGUACAGUCAGACGUGAAAUUCCUGGGCUCAACCUGGGGGCUGCGUUUGAUACGUGCGGACUUGAGUGCGGAAGGGGCAACUGGAAUUCUCGGUGUAGCGGUGAAAUGCGUAGAUAUCGAGAGGAACACCUGCGGCGAAGGCGGGUUGCUGGGCCGACACUGACGCUGAUGCGCGAAAGCCAGGGGAGCGAACGGG
rnacentral:rRNA from 1 species